GAGGGGGGACAAUUUUUGGAAAUUUGUCCUUACGGGUAGUACUAGAAUACUUGUCCACAUGACGAUUUGAAAUAACCGAAGGACAUAUGAGGAAAAAAUAAAAUUAAACUC